AAUGCAAGUCGAACGAGAAAGUGGAGCAAUCCAUGAGUAAAGUGGCGACCGGGUGAGUAACACGUGACUACCUGCCCUUGAGUGGGGGAUAACCUCGGGAAACCGAGGCUAAUACCGCAUAAUAUCGAAAGAUCAAAGGAGCAAUCCGCUUUUGGAGGGGGUCGCGGCUGAUUAGCUAGUUGGUAGGGUAAUGGCCUACCAAGGCGAAGAUCGGUAUCCGGCCUGAGAGGGCGCACGGACACACUGGAACUGAAACACGGUCCAGACUCCUACGGGAGGCAGCAGUGGGGAAUUUUGCGCAAUGGGGGAAACCCUGACGCAGCAACGCCGCGUGGAAGGAUGAAGCCCCUUGGGGCGUUAAACUCCUUUCGACCGGGAAAAUAAUGA
rnacentral:rRNA from 1 species